GCAGAUUGCUGAAGAUUAUUCCCAUAGCGAGUUUGUAAUCCGUCUACCUGGGUACAGCCCAAUGCCUGGAUUUCGUGGUGUUAUUGAUGUACCCCUUGUCAUGAGGAGAUUACACAAAUCUAGAGAAGAGGUGAGGAAAGAUCUUGGAGUUCCGGAUGAUGUGAAGCUAGUAAUUUUUAGUUUUGGUGGGCAGGUGAGGUAUAA